rnacentral:rRNA from 1 species
GACAGAGGUGCCAAGCGUUAGGCGGAAUCAUUGGGCGUAAAGCGCGUGUAGGCGGCUUCGUAAGUCCGUUGUGAAAGUCCAGGGCUCAACCCUGGAAUGCCGAUGGAUACUGCGGAGCUAGAGUCCGGAAGAGGCGAGUGGAAUUCCUGGUGUAGCGGUGAAAUGCGCAGAUAUCAGGAGGAACACCAAUGGCGAAGGCAGCUCGCUGGGACGGUACUGACGCUGAGACGCGAAAGCGUGGGGAGCGAACAGG